rnacentral:misc_RNA from 1 species
GAUGAAGAACGUAGCGAAAUGCGAUACGUAGUGUGAAUUGCAGAAUUCAGUGAAUCAUCGAAUCUUUGAACGCACAUUGCACCUCUCGGUAUUCCGGGAGGUAUGCCUGUUCGAGCGUCAUUUGUACCCUCAAGCUUUGCUUGGUGUUGGGCGUCUUGUCUCUAGCUUUGCUGGAGACUCGCCUUAAAGUAAUUGGCAGCCGGCCUACUGGUUUCGGAGCGCAGCACAAGUCGCACUCUCUAUCAGCAAAGGUCUAGCAUCCAUUAAGCCUUUUUUUCAACUUUUGACCUCGGAUCAGGUAGGGAUACCCGCUGAACUUAAGCAUAUCAAUAAGCGGAGGA